CGUAGGGUGCGAGCGUUAAUCGGAAUUACUGGGCGUAAAGCGUGCGCAGGCGGUUUUGUAAGACAGAUGUGAAAUCCCCGGGCUCAACCUGGGACCUGCAUUUGUGACUGCAAGGCUAGAGUACGGUAGAGGGGGAUGGAAUUCCGCGUGUAGCAGUGAAAUGCGUAGAUAUGCGGAGGAACACCGAUGGCGAAGGCAAUCCCCUGGACCUGUACUGACGCUCAUGCACGAAAGCGUGGGGAGCAAACAGGAUUAGAUACCCUGGUAGUCCACGCCCUAAACGAUGUCAACUGGUUGUUGGGUCUUUACUGACUUAGUAACGAAGCUAACGCGUGAAGUUGACCGCCUGGGGAGUACGGCCGCAAGGUUG
rnacentral:rRNA from 1 species